GAUCGUUUUGAUAUGUGCUGAGGUCAUUUUCUCAGCAUUUUCGGUGGGAAAAAGCAGAAAGAAGAAGCAAAUAGCAGGGAAAUGACCAAAAAGCAAUAUUACCAUUUCUCACGUCACAUCUAUCAGCACUUAACUAUAACAAAAUGGCCAAAAAUAUGACGUCAGGCAAGUCAGUUUAUCAAGCAUCUUAGCUCAUGAAAUUAAAUCAUGCCACUCAUCAGGAAACUCUUUUAUUUUCCUCUCUCAUUACACGUACAUACACAUCAAAUGAAAAUUAAAACAAGUGUACAAUGAGCUGUACUUUUAUUUAAUAUAUAUAAAACAUAAUACGCAUCAAUAUAAUAUUUAAAAAAUAAAGGGCUCAAACCGGGUGGUACGUUGGGGGUGUGUGCAUCCGAUCCACACAGUCCAUCAGCCAAGCUUGUCGUCUGUAAUUUCAUCUCUCACUCGAUGUCGAUCACACAUCAACAGAACUUACAUAUAGGACCAGCGUUAGGGCAACGACCAAGCCGUCGUGAUCGUGGUGGAUUCGGUGACUCGCAAUCUGCGACAGUGACA
rnacentral:lncRNA from 1 species